rnacentral:rRNA from 1 species
UACAGAGGUCUCAAGCGUUGUUCGGAUUCAUUGGGCGUAAAGGGUGCGUAGGUGGCGCGGUAAGUCGGGUGUGAAAUCUCGGAGCUUAACUCCGAAAUUGCAUUCGAUACUGCCGUGCUCGAGGACUGGAGAGGAGACUGGAAUUCAUGGUGUAGCAGUGAAAUGCGUAGAGAUCAUGAGGAAGACCAGUGGCGAAGGCGAGUUUCUGGACAGUAACUGACGCUGAGGCACGAAGGCCAGGGGAGCAAACGGG